GACGAACGCUGGCGGCGUGGAUUAGGCAUGCAAGUCGGACGGUAGGGCUUUAUCGUAAGAUAGAGUUUGAGAGUGGCGAACGGGUGAGUAACACGUAGGAAUCUACCCUUAAGACGGGGACAACCCAGGGAAACUUGGGCUAAUACCGGAUGAGAGUGCGAGAGAUUGCAUUUAAAAGGAUGGCGAAAGUUGUCGCUUAGGGAUGAGCCUGCGGUCUAUUAGUUAGUUGGUGAGGUAAGAGCUCACCAAGGCGAUGAUAGAUAGGCGGCCUUAACGGGUGGUCGCCCACACUGGGAUUGAGAUACGGCCCAGACUCCUACGGGAGGCAGCAGUCGAGAAUAGUCUACAAUGGUCGGAAGACUGAUAGUGCGACGCCGCGUGAACGAUGAAUCCCUUCGGGGUGUAAAGUUCUUUUAUAUGUGAGCAGUGCUUCUUAUAUUAACAGUAUGGGGAGAGAGAUAUUAGCAUAUGAAUAAGCAACGGCUAACUCCGUGCCAGC
rnacentral:rRNA from 1 species